UUAGAUCUAUUAGUCUAACAAAAAAAAGAUGAAGGGAUAACGAUAAGUGAAGGGGUCCACGUACCAACGUACAUGAGCCUCAAUCAGAACUAACGUGCCCUGAUCGGGGGCGCCCAAAAACCAACUCAGGUUUUGGGUCCCCUGUCGCCAGCGCCAUAUUAAAAGGAUACGGGAGAGAGCUGGCCACCUGCGAGAUCACAAUUCACGUAAGGUUUACUUUCCUCCUGAUAUUCUCUCACCCCAUCCGAUCAGGGGGAGUGCUGCAGCGACGGGAAGACCUAAGCCAGCCGCCGCCGCUGUCCCUGGCCAGUGCCGGUGGCGCCCUGAAGGAAUCAGAACUUCGAGGAGAACCUCUACUUCGACUACAUCACCCCUGCAUCAAGCCUGCAGCAAGCAGGCGAUCAUGUCCACUGACGUGACAUCUUCCGCUCCAUUCCGGUCCGACACGAUCGAACCACUUACGGGGAGUAACUUCCCUCAUUGGAAGUCCCAAGUCGAAUUAUGUUUGGGUUGUAAUGAAUUUGACUAUGCCUUGAGGGAAGAAAAACCUGUAGCACCUGUGGCAGGUGUUACAGGGUAUGCAGAACUCAAGAAAGACUAUGAUGUUAAGAUGGAAAAGUGGAACAAGUCCACCAUAUUGCGCUUCUCAUCAUGAAAGCGACAAUAUCGCCGGACAUUUCUGAAGCACUCCCUAAGAAAGACACUGCUAAAGAAUUCCUCACUGAAAUGGAGGAGCAAUUUAAAGGCUCCGAUAAAGUGUAUGCUCAUGAGCUUUUUGCUAAGCUUCUUGAGAAAUACACUAUUGACGGAAACGUUAGGCAACACAUAUUGAGGGUGGUAAAUGCUUACACCAAACUUAAGGCUUUGGAGUGUUCUUUAAGUGAAGCCCUUCUUGUCAUAAUUAUUCUUGAGUCUCUUCCAGAAGAGUUUGAACAAUUUAAGGUCAACUAAAACUCUCUAAAGGAAAAAUGGCAACUCUCUGAGAUGACCGCAAGGAUCGUCCAGGAGGAAGAGAGGAUCAUGAGGCAGAAGAAAGACCAUGUUUUUCAUGUUGGCUCUAACAAGAGAAAGCAUGACGGGCAUGGUUUUCCCAAGCCUCAGAAAAAGCAAGUCAAGAAAGAAGGCACUAAGCCAUUCAACCCUAAGGCAUUCAAGGGUAAAGAAGCCGGCAGUUCUUCUUCUGCUCCUAGCAGCUCCACUGCUGGAGAAAAUGCUUGUAACUUCUGCAAAGAGGAGGGACACUAUCAAAGGGACUGCCCAGGUUUUCUAAAAUGGAUGAACAAAAGAGGGAUUCGAUACGAUCCAAACUAUAAGAGGAGGAACAAGAAAGCUUAAGGUUGCGAAUGGAGUUGAGGCCGAUGUUGAAGCUGUGAGAUCUCUCACGUUGGAGCUACACGCUGGCCACACUCUUAGAUUGAAUAAUGUUAUUUAUGUGCCUACCUUAAGUAGGAAUUUGAUUUCAGUUUCUCGUUUAGAUGAUGAUAUGUAUGAGUGCCAUUUUGGCAAGAAACAAUUUGCUUUGAUCAAAUGUAAUAAGAAUGUAGGCAUCGGUGUUAGACGA